AAUUAUUGCCCGGGGCCCAAAAUCCUAAAGCCCAAUGACCCAAUACACCAAAACCUAACCCACUAGCCCAAAAUAUUGAACAGGAGCAGAAAAUUAGAACCCUAGCAGCAGUUUUUUUCCCUUCCUCAGCGCCGCAGAUCGCGCAGCUCGUCCACACGUCUCUCGCCCAUCCGCACGUCACACGCUGCGCACGUUCUCU
rnacentral:lncRNA from 1 species